AGGCCCCUCCUUCCCGGCCCCAGCUCCCGCUCACCCCUGCCACGUCAAAGGAGGCAGAAGGGGAGUUAGGAGCACAGAGGGGACCA
rfam:Otolemur garnettii contig035922, whole genome shotgun sequence.